rnacentral:rRNA from 1 species
GACCUCGCGCUAAAAGAUGAGCCUACGUCGGAUUAGUUAGUUGGUGGAGUAAUAGCCUACCAAGACGAUGAUCCGUAGCUGGUCUGAGAGGAUGAUCAGCCACACUGGGACUGAGACACGGCCCAGACUCCUAUGGGAGGCAGCAGUGGGGAAUAUUGGACAAUGGGGGAAACCCUGAUCCAGCGAUGCCGCGUGUGUGAAGAAGGCCUUCGGGUUGUAAAGCACUUUCAGUAGGGAAGAAAUCCUUAAAGCUAAUAUCUUUAAGAGUUGACGUUACCUACAGAAGAAGCACUGGCUAACUCUGUGCCAGCAGCCGCGGUAAUACAGAGAGUGCAAGCGUUAAUCGGAAUUACUGGGCGUAAAGCGCGCGUAGGUGGAUUUUCAAGUCGGGUGUGAAAGCCCUAAGCUUAACUUAGGAAUUGCAUCUGAUACUGAAUGUCUCGAGUAUAGUAGAGGGAAGUGGAAUUUCCGGUGUAGCGGUGAAAUGCGUAGAUAUCGGAAAGAACACCAGUGGCGAAGGCGGCUUCCUGGACUAAUACUGACACUGAGGUGCGAAAGCGUAGGGAGCAAACAGGAUUAGAGACCCUGGUAGUCCACGCUGUCAACGAUGAGAACUAGCUGUUGGAAAAUCUAUUUUCUGGUAGCGAAGCUAACGCGUUAAGUUCUCCGCCUGGGGAGUACGACCGCAAGGUUAAAACUCAAAGAAAUUGACGGGGGCCCGCACAAGCGGUGGAGCAUGUGGUUUAAUUCGAUGCAACACGAAAAACCUUACCUACCCUUGACAUCCUCGGAACUUGUCAGAGAUGACUUGGUGCCUUCGGGAGCCGAGUGACAGGUGCUGCAUGGCUGUCGUCAGCUCGUGUCGUGAGAUGUUGGGUUAAGUCCCGUAACGAGCGCAACCCUUGUCCUUAGUUGCCAGCGGUUAGGCCGGGAACUCUAAGGAGACUGCCGGUGAUAAACCGGAGGAAGGUGAGGAUGAUGUCAAGUCAUCAUGGCCCUUAUGGGUAGGGCUACACACGUGCUACAAUGGGCAGUACAGAGGGUUGCCAAAUCGCGAGAUGGAGCUAAUCCCAGAAAACUGUUCGUAGUCCGGAUUGGAGUCUGCAACUCGACUCUAUGAAGCUGGAAUCGCUAGUAAUCGCGAAUCAGAAUGUCGCGGUGAAUACGUUCUCGGGCCUUGUACACACCGCCCGUCACACCAUGGGAGUG